UUUUUAUUGAAUAUUUUAUACUUAUUAAUGGGGCUAUUUAUUAUUUUAUUAAGGUACCAUUUGGUUUGGGUAUAAGCAAUAAUUAGCUAUUACAGGAAUAGGUACAAGUAUGGGGAUAAGCAAAAUAGUGUUUGGAUGAAAAUCGGGUUGUUCCCGUGGAUAAGAAAAAUAGCGUUUGGAUAUAUAAUAUGGAAUAAGAAAAAUAGUGGGUAGUUAUAUAUAGAAAAUAGAGGUGUUGGUGGGGUUAAUAAUGUCAGCUUAUUUUAGAUAUCCGAGAAUUACUAUUUUCGGAUAAAAAAUUUGCGUUUGGGUGUGUUUGGAUAUAAAGAGGGGGAUAAGGGGUUAU
rnacentral:lncRNA from 1 species